rfam:Erinaceus europaeus unplaced genomic scaffold scaffold00163, whole genome shotgun sequence
GUCCAUGGCCAUACCACCCCGAACAUGCCUGAUCUCAUCUGAUCUCGAAAGCUAAGCAGGGUCGGGCCUUGUUAGUACUUGGAUGGGAUAAAGGGAAAACAAAGUGAAAUUCUGACA